ACCAGGCCCGACCUCCCUCUCUCUCAUUCUCUCUCCCGAAGCAGGCUUGAGAUUUUCCCUCUCUCUCGAUCUCUCUACCCUAAACCAAGGCUCGAUCUCUCACCCUAUCUCUCACUCUAUCUCUACGAAGGACUCAUGAUCUCUCACUGACUCUGUGAACCAUCUCGGGCUAUCAAUUUCUCAGCCCCAACCCAAGCUCCCAAAGCCUGAGCUCGAUUUGUAGCCCGAUCUCUUAGCCCCAAAUCAGCCCCAUCAAAGAACAAAAGAAAAUGGGUGAUAACAGAUUGAUUUAUUGUCUUUUUGGUGGAGAACUCCGAUCAAGUAUUACUAGGGGAAUCGAGACGUUAUAUACAUGCGACCCAUGAUUUGCUAUUGCAAAACACUCCUAUGGAGACAUAUGCUAAUGAGAUGGUGGAGGGAGAUGGUGGAAGCCAGAGCGAUAAGAGCGAUGGUAGAGAUGAUGAAAGCGAGAGAGAGGAGGGAGAUAGUGGAGAUGAAGAAAUCGAGAUCGAGGAGGGAGAUGGUGGACAUAAAAAAACAAGACUGAGGAGGGAGAUGGUGGAAGCGAGAGCGAAGAGAGAGAUGGUGGAGAUGAUGAAAGCGAGAGCGAGGAUGGAGAUAAUAGAGAUGAAGAAAUUGAGAUUGAGGAGGGAGAUGGUGGACAUAAAAAAACAAGACUGAGGAGGGAGAUGGUGGAGAUGAGGAAAGAGAGAACGAGACCGAUGAGGAAAAUGAGAGGAUAACAAAGAGCAAAAAUAACAAGGGCAAAAACCACCAGCUUGAAGCUAUAUCGGCAUUGCAUGAGGAAUCAAUGUGGAAUUUACGAUGGCAAAGAGAGGGAGAUGUCCAGGAGGAAAGGACUAGGGACCCGUUGUAAAGGUAAAGAGAAUUGUAAGCUGGCCAAAAAACUGGCUGAGGUGAAGAAAGUAACAUGCAUUUUUUAGAUAAUACCCAAAUAUGAAAUUUGAAAAGUGACUAAUGCAAGUUGCAAAGGCUAUGAACCUUUUUUUGAGAUGUAUUUUUCAAUUGAUGGGUAUGUUUGAAACAUAUGUUAAGUAGUGAGAUUCAAAGAGUGAAAUGUCCAUUCUUUUUGUGCAAUUGAAGCUACUCUAUUAUAGCAGCUAGCUAAUGAAAUGUCCAUUCUUUUUGUUAACA